rnacentral:rRNA from 1 species
GUGCCAGCAGCCGCGGUAAUUCCAGCUCCAAUAGCGUAUAUUAAAGUUGUUGUGGUUAAAAAGCUCGUAGUUGAACCUUGGGCCUGGCUGGCCGGUCCGCCUCACCGCGUGCACUGGUCCGGCCGGGCCUUUCCCUCUGUGGAACCCCAUACCCUUCACUGGGCGUGGCGGGGAAACAGGACAUUUACUUUGAAAAAAUUAGAGUGCUCCAGGCAGGCCUAUGCUCGAAUACAUUAGCAUGGAAUAAUAAAAUAGGACGCGCGGUUCUAUUUUGUUGGUUUAUAGGACCGCCGUAAUGAUUAAUAGGGACAGUCGGGGGCAUCAGUAUUCAACUGUCAGAGGUGAAAUUCUUGGAUCAGUUGAAGACUAACUACUGCGAAAGCAUUUGCCAAGGAUGUUUUCAUUAAUCAGGAACGAAAGUUAGGGGAUCGAAGACGAUCAGAUACCGUCGUAGUCUUAACCAUAAACUAUGCCGACUAGGGAUCGGACGGUGUUAUUCAUGACCCGUUCGGCACCUUACGAGAAAUCAAAGUGCUUGGGCUCCAGGGGGAGUAUGGUCGCAAGGCUGAAACUUAAAGAAAUUGACGGAAGGGCACCACCAGGGGUGGAGCCUGCGGCUUAAUUUGACUCAACACGGGGAAACUCACCAGGUCCAGACACAAUAAGGAUUGACAGAUUGAGAGCUCUUUUCUUGAUUUUGUGGGGUGGUGUGCAUGGCCGUUCUUAGUUGGUGGGGUGACUUGUCUGCUUAAAUUGCGAUAACGAACCGAAGACCUUAACCUGCU